UACGGGGGGGGCAAGCGUUGUUCGGAAUUACUGGGCGUAAAGGGCUCGUAGGCGGCCAACUAAGUCGGAUGUGAAAUCCCCAGGCUCAACCUGGGAACUGCAUCCGAUACUGGAUGGCUUGAAUUCGGGAGAGGGAUGCAGAAUUCCAGGUGUAGCGGUGAAAUGCGUAGAUACCUGGAGGAAUACCGGUGGCGAAGGCGGCAUCCUGGACCGACAUUGACGCUGAGGAGCGAAAGCCAGGGGAGCAAACGGG
rnacentral:rRNA from 1 species